UGAGGGAAAGGCGAAAAGAACCCCGGCGAGGGGAGUGAAAAAGAACCUGAAACCGUGUACGUACAAGCAGUGGGAGCACGCUUAGGCGUGUGACUGCGUACCUUUUGUAUAAUGGGUCAGCGACUUAUAUUCUGUAGCAAGGUUAACCGAAUAGGGGAGCCGAAGGGAAACCGAGUCUUAACUGGGCGUUAAGUUGCAGGGUAUAGACCCGAAACCCGGUGAUCUAGCCAUGGGCAGGUUGAAGGUUGGGUAACACUAACUGGAGGACCGAACCGACUAAUGUUGAAAAAUUAGCGGAUGACUUGUGGCUGGGGGUGAAAGGCCAAUCAAACCGGGAGAUAGCUGGUUCUCCCCGAAAGCUAUUUAGGUAGCGCCUCGUGAAUUCAUCUCCGGGGGUAGAGCACUGUUUCGGCAAGGGGGUCAUCCCGACUUACCAACCCGAUGCAAACUGCGAAUACCGGAGAAUGUUAUCACGGGAGACACACGGCGGGUGCUAACGUCCGUCGUGAAGAGGGAAACAACCCAGACCGCCAGCUAAGGUCCCAAAGUCAUGGUUAAGUGGGAAACGAUGUGGGAAGGCCCAGACAGCCAGGAUGUUGGCUUAGAAGCAGCCAUCAUUUAAAGAAAGCGUAAUAGCUCACUGGUCGAGUCGGCCUGCGCGGAAGAUGUAACGGGGCUAAACCAUGCACCGAAGCUGCGGCAGCGACGCUGAUGCGUUGUUGGGUAGGGGAGCGUUCUGUAAGCCUGUGAAGGUGUGCUGUGAGGCAUGCUGGAGGUAUCAGAAGUGCGAAUGCUGACAUAAGUAACGAUAAAGCGGGUGAAAAGCCCGCUCGCCGGAAGACCAAGGGUUCCUGUCCAACGUUAAUCGGGGCAGGGUGAGUCGACCCCUAAGGCGAGGCCGAAAGGCGUAGUCGAUGGGAAACAGGUUAAUAUUCCUGUACUUGGUGUUACUGCGAAGGGGGGACGGAGAAGGCUAUGUUGGCCGGGCGACGGUUGUCCCGGUUUAAGCGUGUAGGCUGGUUUUCCAGGCAAAUCCGGAAAAUCAAGGCUGAGGCGUGAUGACGAGGCACUACGGUGCUGAAGCAACAAAUGCCCUGCUUCCAGGAAAAGCCUCUAAGCAUCAGGUAACAUCAAAUCGUACCCCAAACCGACACAGGUGGUCAGGUAGAGAAUACCAAGGCGCUUGAGAGAACUCGGGUGAAGGAACUAGGCAAAAUGGUGCCGUAACUUCGGGAGAAGGCACGCUGAUAUGUAGGUGAAGCGACUUGCUCGUGGAGCUGAAAUCAGUCGAAGAUACCAGCUGGCUGCAACUGUUUAUUAAAAACACAGCACUGUGCAAACACGAAAGUGGACGUAUACGGUGUGACGCCUGCCCGGUGCCGGAAGGUUAAUUGAUGGGGUCAGCGCAAGCGAAGCUCUUGAUCGAAGCCCCGGUAAACGGCGGCCGUAACUAUAACGGUCCUAAGGUAGCGAAAUUCCUUGUCGGGUAAGUUCCGACCUGCACGAAUGGCGUAAUGAUGGCCAGGCUGUCUCCACCCGAGACUCAGUGAAAUUGAACUCGCUGUGAAGAUGCAGUGUACCCGCGGCAAGACGGAAAGACCCCGUGAACCUUUACUAUAGCUUGACACUGAACAUUGAGCCUUGAUGUGUAGGAUAGGUGGGAGGCUUUGAAGUGUGGACGCCAGUCUGCAUGGAGCCGGCCUUGAAAUACCACCCUUUAAUGUUUGAUGUUCUAACGUUGACCCGUGAUCCGGGUUGCGGACAGUGUCUGGUGGGUAGUUUGACUGGGGCGGUCUCCUCCUAAAGAGUAACGGAGGAGCACGAAGGUUGGCUAAUCCUGGUCGGACAUCAGGAGGUUAGUGCAAUGGCAUAAGCCAGCUUGACUGCGAGCGUGACGGCGCGAGCAGGUGCGAAAGCAGGUCAUAGUGAUCCGGUGGUUCUGAAUGGAAGGGCCAUCGCUCAACGGAUAAAAGGUACUCCGGGGAUAACAGGCUGAUACCGCCCAAGAGUUCAUAUCGACGGCGGUGUUUGGCACCUCGAUGUCGGCUCAUCACAUCCUGGGGCUGAAGUAGGUCCCAAGGGUAUGGCUGUUCGCCAUUUAAAGUGGUACGCGAGCUGGGUUUAGAACGUCGUGAGACAGUUCGGUCCCUAUCUGCCGUGGGCGCUGGAGAACUGAGGGGGGCUGCUCCUAGUACGAGAGGACCGGAGUGGACGCAUCACUGGUGUUCGGGUUGUCAUGCCAAUGGCACUGCCCGGUAGCUAAAUGCGGAAGAGAUAAGUGCUGAAAGCAUCUAAGCACGAAACUUGCCCCGAGAUGAGUUCUCCCUGACUCCUUGAGAGUCCUGAAGGAACGUUGAAGACGACGACGUUGAUAGGCCGGGUGUGUAAGCGCAGCGAUGCGUUGAGCUAACCGGUACUAAUGAACCGUGAGG
rnacentral:rRNA from 1 species